rnacentral:scRNA from 1 species
CUGCGGGAACAGCAGGCCGAACGCCUGGGCCA